rnacentral:rRNA from 1 species
AGCUCCAAUAGCGUAUAUUAAAGUUGCUGCAGUUAAAAAGCUCGUAGUUGCAUUUCCGAGGCAAGGGAUUAGUCCGACCUUUGGUGGGUAUUUAAUCCUCUUGCCUCGUCCUUUAGUGGUGCUUCUUGGUAUUAAGUUAUCGAGGAGAUAGCCGCUCAUCGUUUACUGUGAGAAAAUUAGAGUGUUCAAAGCAGGCUUAUGCCGUUGAAUAUAUUAGCAUGGAAUAAUAAGAUAGGACCUCGGUACUAUUUUGUUGGUUUGAGAACCAAGGUAAUGAUAAAUAGGGACAGUUGGGGGUAUUCGUAUUCAGUUGUCAGAGGUGAAAUUCUUAGAUUUACGGAAGACGAACUACUGCGAAAGCAUUUACCAAGGAUGUUUUCA